rnacentral:lncRNA from 1 species
AUGACUCUCCCAAACUAUACUCCAUCACACCUGGCCCCUCUGCCCAUGACCCUCAAUCCAGCUGAAUAUGACAUACCUCCACAAACUGCAACCUGAGCAUUUGGCCAUAAAUCUGGGUUUAAACAGGGGUACUUAAUCAGCACAAUGACCCUAACCAAUGAUGAUUCAUCGAGGGCUCAUCAAACAUCUUGGCUUAAUUUGUUGGACUUGUGUAAGAUCAGCACAUGUCUAUCCCAAUUUCAGACCCAUUAUCAAAUACUCAUCCAGUAGCUCUAUGUGGAAUCGGAUCCGGUAGGGAUAGGAAAGAAAAGCUUAUCCAGGAAGAAAAAUUGGAUCAAACAUUUAACAUCUCAUAUUAA